GCCGCUCAGAUAAGUUCAUGGGAAAACUGCUGAGCAGGACAGGGCAUGUAGGGGAAGAGUGAGCAGUGACGCUGAGAGCCCUGCUGUGCAGCCAUCUGCCCUGGCAUUGCUCUUACUUAGCUUGAGGCUUUGGAUGGUGGUGAGGGGGCGGAUUUUGAGGCUACUGCUUCCAACAGGAGAGGACAUGGUGAGCAUCACCUUUUUAGUGUCUCCACAAUCACCAACUCAUGCAAGUCUUCAUGCACUUCUUUCAGGAUGUGUCUGAGCUUGAUGGAAGAAACCUUUCUCUGGACAAACGAUGUCUGGAAGAUAACAGAAAGGAAAGCAGAUCUGCAUAGAGGACAAGAAGAGCUGUGUUACGAAGCAGCUGACACACCAUGUUUUAGGUGGUGUCAGAGGCUGCAUCCCCAUUGCCAGAGCAUCUCCCUCCCCGAAGGCUGUGCCAGGCUCAGGAGUGCAUGGUCCAUCAUACUGCUGCUGGUGACUGUCACAGCGUUACUUGGGUUUUGCACCAAAUCAGACGCCUGUACCACCCCAGGAAACAAGACAGCUCAAGCUGCAGGAUGUCUGCAUUCUCUGAGAUAUCUCCUCCUUUGCUGUGG
ensembl:lncRNA